rnacentral:lncRNA from 10 species
CUGGUGGUGCAUGUCAGAAAUUUCAGGUACUCGCGAGACUGAGGCGGGAGAAUCACUUGAGCCCGGGAGGCGGAGGUUACAGUGACCAAGAUCACGCCACUGCACUCCAACGUGGGCGACAGAAUGAAACCCUGUACUCAAAAAAAAAGAAAGAAAGAAAGAAAGAAAGAAAGAAAGAAAGAAAGAAAGAAAGAAAGAAAGAAAGAAAGAAAAGAAAAAUGAAGGUUCAGGUGACAAACGCCUCUUAUGGACUGGGACCUUUUAUUAAGACAAACUUCUCUGAGAGCUGGCACAGGCGGACGAAAAUGCUGCUUAUCUUAGAUUUUGGGUUCCAGGCUGGUGGCCUGAUGCAAACCAGCAACACUUGCGCCCUCUGGCGGCGAGGACCAGAGAGACUAUUUUAAAGCCAAGCUCUCGGGACAUAAAACGAAGGAAGAAUCGAAUCUCAUGAUUUUCUUCCUUAUGACAAACAACACAAACGACAGAGACAAGGACUUUUUAUUAUUCCUUGGAGGCUGUGGAUCAUACCCAGACCAAAUUUAUAAAAGUUACAAUUCAAAGAACUCAUUCUUACAAAUGUUUUUCUCCUGCCAAUCUGAAUUUGGAAAGGAAGAGACAAGGAAAAUUUACGUUCUCCUCUCUACAGGGCACUGCAGAUAGAUAUGUCGGGGGACUGACUUUGGUAAGAAUUCUUACCUUCUGCAGGUUCUGUCAGCUCUUCCGGGAUCCUACCCACAGGCUCUGAAGCAUGAGUUCCUGCUGUUCAUGAAACCAAUUGGAAAGUAAGGGGCACUACUGCACUGAUAAUCUUGGCUCCUUGCUCAAAGGCACGGAGAACCACCUCUCCCUAACCUGCAAUGUGGGAAAUGUCUCACAUACUAUAUGGGAGACUGCAGAGAAGAAAGGGGUCACCAGAACAAUAAACCCAAACAGGAUAUACAAUGGAAUGUACGCUAUGAUUACAACUCUGCUAAAAUAUAUCUGCCAGUGGACUAGCCCAGGAAACGAACAAGCAAAAGUGAAAGCAACUGCAUGAUUCAGCGGUAAUAAUAGGGAUUGAAUUUUCUUUUGUGGUUCUCUAUUUUCUAAUCUUUCUAUAAUGUAAUUAUAUAGAACUUGUAAUGACAGGUAUAUCUUUUAUGUUUCUUGGUAUACAAAAUGCUCUCCUCUGAACGUUUCUUAUUAUGUAAGUCAUUUAAGUAAUCAUAUUGAUUUUGUAGAAAAAUUUUAGAGGCUAAAAAUACCAUCAGUAUUCUAAGUGUAUUUGAUCCAAGCCUCAGCAUAAAAUCAAAUGAAUUACUGUCAACACAGAAGGAGACUUACGUCUUUAACUUUGAUGUACAAACAGAAGAACAUAGAAGCUAACAUGGACUUUGGAGUCAGACAGACAUGAGUUCAGAUCUCAGAUUCAGAACUUACUAGUUCUGUGAUCUUGGGUAAGGUAUUAUUAUUCAUUUGCUUAUUUAUUUACUUAUUUAUUUAUUUUUAGAGAUAGAGUCUUGUGGUGUUAUCCAGGCUGGAGUGUAGUGGUAUGAUCAUGGCUCACUGUAACCUUGAACUCCUGGGCCUAGGCAAUCUUUCCACCUUAGUCUCCCAAGUAGCUGGACUACAAGUGUGUGCCACCACGCUCUGCUAAUUUAGAAAAAAAAAUUAUAGAGACAGAGUCUCUCUAUAUUGCCCAGGCUGAUCUCAAACUCCUGGCUUCAAGCAGUCCUUCAGCUUUGGCCUCCUAAGGUGCUGGGAUCGCAGGCAUGAGCCAUCGAAACUGGCCCUAAGUAUUUAUCUUUUAAGUCAUAGCCUCCUCAGCUGUAAAUUGGAACUAGUAAGAUCUAAAAUUUAUUGAGAGCUUUCCACAUAUUAUGCUUUAUUUAAAUGUCUUAUUUAUUUAUUUGUUUGUUUAUUUAUUUUUUGAGACAGAUUCUCACUCUAUCAUCCAGGCUGGAGUGCAGUGGCGCGAUCUUGGCUCACUGCAACCUCUGCCUCCCGGGCUCAAGUGAUUCCUCUGCCUCAGCCUCCCAAGUAGCUGGGAUUACAGGUGUGUGCCACCACACCCAGCUAAUUGUUUUGUAUUUUUAGUAGACACAGAGUUUCACCAUGUUGGCCAGGCUGGUCUUGAACUCCCAACCUCAAGUGAUCUGCCCGCCUUGGCCUCCCAAAGUGCUGGAAUUUCAGGCGUGAACCACCGUGCCUGGGCAAUGUCAUAUUUAUUUAUUAUUUUUAGUUUUUUAGACAGUAUCAUGCCCUGUUCCCCAAGCUGCAGUGUAGUGGCCCCAUCAUGGCUUUCUGUAGCCUCGACCCCCUGGGUUCAAUUGAUCCUCCCACCUCAGCCCCCAAAGUAGCUGGGACUAGUGGCACGCACCACCAUGCCUGACUAAUUUUUGGGGUUUGUUUUGUGGAGAUGGGGUUUCACCAUGUUACCCAGGCUGGUCUCAAACUCUUGGGCUCAAGUGAUCCAACUACCUCAACUUCUCAAAAUGCUGGGUUUACAGCUGUGAGCCACAGUGGUCGGCCUAAAUGUAGUAUUAACUUUCAAUCUUCAUCUUUACCUGAAGACGUAGGUAUGAAUUUUACCUCUAUUUUAUAGAUGAGAAAACUGAAUCUUGAAGAGGUAAAGUAACUUGCUCAAGGUCAUCCAGCCAAUUAAGGAAUAGAGUUGGAAUUCAAGGCCAGAGUCAAUCCGACCCCUGGACUCAAGCUCUUAACACUGCCUUAUCGUACCUUACUGCUAUACAUAAUUCAAAGACUGGUUGGGGGUUAAAAGAUAUAUUUUAAAAACAAUUUGCACCAUGUCUACUACAUACUAAGCACUUAAUAUAUGUUUGUUGUAACUGUAUAUAUCAGAGGAGACAUCAAUGGGACUGUAAAGGUAUUUUGAUGUAUUAGCUGUUGACUGGUGGGGUCUGUCAUAUUUGGCUGGCUAGGAAGGAAGCACCUGCUUCCUUCAUUGUUUCCCCCUCUACCACAUGCCUCUUUCAAGCUGUACAACUGGGCAAAGACAGCCUUCCCUGAUUAAAGCAGGGAUAAGGGACUUUAUCUGCAAUUGGCCCAAGAGAACUCUGAAGUAGUAAACAAUAACAAGAGGAAAUACAUUAAAAAAUUAAAAGGUCCUGUUCAUGGUCAGAGGCAUCUUUUCUUUUCUCUUUGUACCUUAUGUCAGUUUUAAGUGACCACAGAUUUUUUUUAAUACAGUGUCGAGGUUAUAUAAUUCAUGUUUCUACCCAUAGUUCUCCAAGUUAAGAUCUUCUCUGCAGCUCCAGGUUAGGGUGGUGAGCCUUAGUUUCACUCUCUGUGCUCCCUUGCAGCCCUUUUAGAGUCACCUGUUUCCAAGAUAUCAUUGCCUCUUUUUUGUCAUCAGAACCUGAUAUCAGCAUUUUGUUCUCUUAGUUAAUGCAACAAAAUUUAUACGUUAUCAGAUGCAGUGACUGGGGUUUUCUAUUCACUUCCCAUCAGAACUAAUCUGAAUAAAGUGAUUCUUUCAUCCAAGUCACCUUUUCAUCCAGUAAGCCCAUCUCCAGGCAUUUAUAAAUAUACCAGAAAAAGAAAAGGUUGUAUGCCUGAGUAUGUGCCUGGCUUAAUUAAAUUGGUGUAAAAUUGCUAGUGACACGAAUGACAGGGGAAUGAUCGCUGAAAUUUCAUAUGAUCUGGCUAGGAUGCAGUGCACCCAUUAAAAAUGAUUAUAUUGAAGACUGUGCUACCACAUGAGGAAAUGCCUGCAUUAGUCAGCUAAAGCUACAAAACAAACAACCUUGAAAUCUCAGUCAUUAAAUAAUAAGCUUUUAUUUCUCAUUCAUGCACUUUCAGAUCAGCUGGAUUUUGGCUAAGCUAGUUAGGACUGGUGGAACUUGGCUCCAGGCCAUGAGUUGAGUUCAAGUUGGAUUCACAUAUCUCAGUGGCUGGUGGGCCACCCAGGGUACAUUCUUUGUAUGGAAACAGCAGAAACCCGAGAGAGUAAACCCAAUGCUGAAAGUCCAUGUACAGCCUCUGUGCACAUCAGAACUACUAACAUUCCAAGUCACAUGACCAAGGCCACAUUACAGGGGUGGAAAAUAUCUCUACCUCUAAUGUUAGUAACUACAAAGGGUAUAGAUAUAGAGAGGUAGGAAAUAUUGGGAACAAUAAUGUAGUCUAUAGCAAUAUCUCACAAAACAAUUAAAUGGAAAAAGCACACAUAUACGUUAUAAAGUUGAUGGCACAACUUGAUCAUAACUGUGUGAAAAUAUUUUUCCAUAUCAACAAAGAAUAGAAAUAAAUAAGCAAAAAUGAAAAAAUGUUACACCCAGAUAACAAGAUGAUUUAAGAACUUUUUUUUUUUUUUUUUGAGACAGAGUUUCACUCUUGUUGCCCAGGCUGAAGUGCAGUGGCGCAAUCUCAGCUCACUGCAACCUCCACCUCCCAGGUUCAAGCAAUUCUCCUGCCUCAGCCUCCCAAGUAGCUGGGAUUACAGGCAUGCGCCACCAUGCCCAGCUAAUUUUGUAUUUUUAGUGGAGACAGGGUUUCUCCAUGUUGGUCAGGCUGGUCUUGAACUCCUGACCUCAGGUGAUUCACCCACCUCAGCCUCCCAAAGUGCUAGGAUUACCAGCAUGAGCCCCUGCGCCCAGCCUGAUUUAAGAACUUUUAAUUUUGCCUUUCUCCAUUUCCGAAGCUUCCAUGAUAAUAUUAUAUUACCCUUCUUUUUAAAAGUAAGUUUUAGAAGCUUCUCACAGUUUCUAAAGCUUCUCUUUUAUCUUAGUUAUUUCAUUUAGUUAAUUGCUUUAUCCAUCAUAUUAAGACUUUGUAGAAAACAUUGAGAAUUCUAAAACAACCAAGUUAGUCCAUUAUUCUUAGUCCCCACCAGUUCCUAAUCUUACAUUUGAAUCUAAUGAACUAUCAUCAUAGAUCCUUAAUUUGACCUGUUGCCUAAAAACAAUUGAGUUGCCUUUAUUGUUCCCUUAUUCUUCAUUAUUACAGUGUUAAAGAUUAUUCUCCACACUGACUUCUUUGAAAUCUCUAACAUUAGAAAUUCAUACUAUCGAAUUGAAUCAUUGUAGAUUCUAGUUUUCUAAAAGCUACAAGUACAAUUCAGCAAAUAUUUACUGAGCACCUGCCCUGUGUGAGGCACUGUACUAGUUGCUCUAGGGGAAAUAAGGAUGUGUAAGUGACUCAUCCUCUUACUCUCAAGGAGCUCACAGUCUUAAUAGGAAGAGAAAUGUGCACACAUUUUUUGAGGACAGAAAGAACAGACUAGGAGAAGGGUUCAAUGGUUCUCAACCCUUGUGACAUAUUAGAAUCAUUUGGAUUUUUUUUAAGAGAUAGAGUCUUGCUCUGUAACCCAGGCUGGAGUGCAGUGGAGUAAUCAUAGGUCACUGUAGCCUCAAACUCCUGGGCUCAAGUGAUCCUCCCACCUUGGCCUCUGGAGUAGCUAGGAUUAAAAGCAUGCACCACCAUGCCCAACUAAGUUUUUAAAAAAAUUUUUUUUGUAGAGAUGGGGUCUUGUUAUGUUGCCCAGGCUGGUCUCCAACUCCUGGCUUCAAGUGAUUCCCCCAGACCUCAGCCUCUCAAAGUUCUGGUAUUACAGGCACCAGCCACUGCACCCUGCCUGGACAACAUUUAAUAAAUACCGAUGCCCGAGCCUGUGUUCAGACACACUGAGGUUAAUUAGUCUGGUGUCUGGCCUGAUCACUGAUUUUUUUUAAGUCGCCCAGGAAAUUAUAAUGAGCAUCCAGGGUUGAGAAUCACUGAGUUAGUUAUUCUACUUUCAUCCUGAUUGAAUUGUUUCACUAGACUAAGAACUGACAAAGACUCUCAAAUUCAAUAUUUAAAACAAUUCUUUACAAAUCAAUUCUUUUAUUAAAAAUUAUAUGAUGCAUGCAUAUAUUUUAAAAAGUCAAAUGGUACUAAGGCUUAUGACUAAAAUAUAGCAAUUCCUUGUCCCACUCAUACUCCUUCAUACUCUGUUGACUUUGACUGUUUAAAUUAUUUUUAUAGAAUUCAUACAUCUCCCUACAUCAGAAUGUCAAUGCACUGGCAUCUUUUGCAAAACCGAUUGCUGAACUUCAUUUCCUCCUAUCCAAAACUACCCUAAAGCCCCCAAGGAAAGGUAAAAAGGAAGAAACACCAGGUAAUUAGAGCAGUAGGAAGCAAGGGAGAGGUUUUUCUUUUCAACCCGUGCCUAGGUACAGACUAGCCCUUCUAAUGGGCCUAAGCAAUUCAGAAAGGCAGCUAAGAGAGCUUCUCGAAACCCUGCCUGCUCUUCCACCUCUUGGAAGGCUGAGGGGCUUUAUCUAAAAUCAUAACCAAAAUUUCCACAUGUCUCCUGGAUUCAAGCCUCCCCAGAGUCAAUCAAGUUAUCCUAAACUUUUCUAGAAGUUAAAAACAGUUUGGAAAUAUGAAUACUUCCAAAGCAAUUUAAAAAUCCUUGCAAAAGCAAGAGUAAUUUGAAGAGUACAGAAUUGGCUCAGCCAUUUGGGGAACUGACUAGAAAAGGGGAACUUUGAUUUCAUUUCUAAUAUGUAUCAUAUACAUUGGAAAGUUUCACUUAGGGAGAUAAUAAAAGUUUAAUUGAGGUAGUAGGCAUUUGAAAAAGGAUGUGAUUGCCAAGUAAGGAUUUCAAAGGUGGAGGGGACAGAAAAGGGUUUAAAGACUGAGAAAAUGGCACAGGCACAGACCAGGAGUCGGGGAUGUGUGUGGGUGGUGUUGGUGGUAAAGUUGCCACCAAGGAUCCCCAUAAACUCUGAGAGUUGGAUUUAAAAAUUAGCACCAAGUCAUAAUGGAAGAAAUCAGAGAUGUGCAAAGGCCCCUUGUAGGAAGACUACUUUCCAGGCCAGCGGCAGAGUAUAAGGCAUUUCUAGCCUACAUGAAUGUAUUCACAUACAUAGAGGAUAAAUGUAGGCAAAAUUUGUAUAUGUUGGGGGCAGUAAGGAGAGGGUUGGUGGUGAACCUGGAAAUUUUAGAAACCAAGACAGAGAAAAAAAAAUUCAUCUGAGGGCAAAGAAUAAUGAAAAACUAGUCAUCCUUAGCAUUCUAAAUUUGCUUUAGCUUGUAAACUGUAAACUAAUUUGUCUAGUCCUUGUGAUAGAAAUAUCUUUAUUUUAGAAAUUAUUGCAAUCUUAUUUUAUAUUAAGUUGGUGCAAAAGUAAUUGUGGCUUUUGCACUUUUGCACCAACCUAAUAGAUAUUGCAAUAGUCUAAUAUAAUCUGAAGAUUUUUAAGAUUUGAAUCAAAUUACCAGCUUCCCUUACUGUAAGGCUAUGUUCAUAUAAUUUGGCUUCCUAUAUUACUGUUGAGGGCACUGAUUAGCAAAAGCAUUUGACCCACUUAUGACUAUGGUCCUCACUAUAAAUUAACAGAGUAACAUUUUGAUGUAUGCAUUGGUCCUUUGUGAGCUUGAUUAGCAUAAAGCAUCCCCAAGAGACUGAUCUAGACUUGGUACAAAAAGGCAAUCAAGUUCUGGACCUGGAAAGCUUGAGACCCAUAGCCAGUAUGAGGUGCCAGUCAAUUGGCUACUUUUGAGACCUAUGCAGUCAAAGUAACCAGCCUGGAGGGCACCAUACCACCACCCAAAAAUUAUGCCAGGUGGGCUGGGGUGCAUGAGAAACAUGGGGAGAUGGAGAUACAAUAAAGGAUGUGGUUGGGAGAGCAAGUCAGGGCAUAUUAAUGAAAGCCUUGAAAAUUGGUUAGGUUUGAAGGCUGUGGGGACUCAUUGAAGAUAUGUUAGCAAGGUAUUACAUAAAAUCAGUUCUCUAUUUGAGGAAAAAUUCUCUGAUGGAUGACAGCUGGAUUGAGUGGGAAAGCUGGAGACAGGGGACUAAUGAAGUCUAUUGUAAUUGUAUAGGUAGGAGGUGAAGGAAAUUGUGAAAAGGCCAGUGGCAUUGAAAUAGAGUGGAAGGCUCAGCUCCAAGAGACAUUUCUGUGGCUCCAGGCCAUACUGAUGUGCCUUGAUUUCCUCACUUGUAAUAUUAAAAUGGAGUCACUGCUACCUGUCUAGGAGAAAGGACUCUGCUCUUCCUGUCUUC